UACGGAGGGGCAAGCGUUAUUCGGAAUCAUUGGGCGUAAAGAGCGUGUAGGCGGCCCGGUAAGUCCGCUGUAAAAGUCAAAGGCUCAACCUUUGAAUGUCAGUGGAUACUGCCGGGCUAGAGUCCGGAAGAGGCGAGUGGAACUCCUGGUGUAGCGGUGGAAUGCGCAGAUAUCAGGAAGAACACCAACGGCGAAGGCAGCUCGCUGGGACGGUACUGACGCUGAGACGCGAAAGCGUGGGGAGCGAACAGG
rnacentral:rRNA from 1 species